GGGAGCCGCCCUUCAUUCACCCACAUGGUUACCAACUGGUCGCCUUCGCGCCACUUUCUUAACGCUGUAAUCAUUUUUAAGAAGCAUCUCUGGGCUACAAAUGGUCUCAAUACCGACUCGGGGUUCACUUUAUGUUUUGUUUUUGCCUGCCGGGAUAAAAGUUUUCGGUUGGGUUACGUAUUUAUUGGUCUUUUUUGUCGGUGUGAGACUACACGGCAGCCCAAGCAAGUGAGCGAAGAUGGUGGAUUUCGGCUGAUCCACCAAGAGGUGCAGGUUCCCAGGAUAAAAGUCUCAAAUCGUGGAGCAGUGGGACCAUCUUCCUUGUGGUGUUAGAAGGCUAUGAUGCCAUUAUCGGUCUGUGUAUUGUCAAAGUGCUUACAGUGCAGGUAGUACUGUGUAAUACCUACUGCAGUGGAGGCACUUACAGCAAUAUCCUGACAAUGAUGAGCUGACGCUUUGAUGUUACAUGUCAUUUGAAGUACUGUCUUUGUGCUAAGGUGCAUCUAGUGCAGAUAGUGAAAUAGACUAGCACCUACUGCCCUAAGUGCUCCUUCUGGCAUAAGGGGCUGUGAUAUGCACCACCAGACCAUUCUUAAUUUCUAAUUGGGCUCAAACAUCUCGCAGUUCUCUGCUAGUUUUGCAUAGUUGCACUACAAGAAUACAUGAGUUGUGCAAAUCUAUGCAAAACUGAUGGUGGCCUGCUUGCUCUCCACCUGUUUAGAUUUCUUUGGUUUUGGGGGUGUUGCAUCAAACAACUUUAUUUGAAUAAUACACCAUAAACAUGGCUUUAAAAAAAGUGGAAAACAUGAAAAAAAAACAAAAAACAAAAAAAAAUAGCAUUUGCCAGUUCCCAUGAGCGAAACUGAGUUCAGUAGUACUAAAGUGCUUAUAGUGCAGGUAGUGUUUUUCCUAUCUACUGCAAUGUGAGCACUUGAAGUACUUCUAACUGUGUCUCCUGCAGGCAGAGUUGAACAGUCAAAGACAAAUCUGUUAUUCGUGGCCUGUUUAGUUUUGCUGGUUUGCAUUCAGCUUUAACAGGUGUUCGCUGUGCAAAUCCAUGCAAAACUGACUAGGUUUACGAGUUGUGUUCUGCCAAGGAGAACCGCUUUUCAUCAUGUGAAGGGACGUCUGGAGGUGUCCUGUCCUGUGCAGGUGGGGAUUAGUAGCAAUGCUGUACCAUUGGAGGUAUUGCACUUGUCCCGGCCUGUAAAGAUGCAGGAGAUGAAGCUAAUUGGAAUCUUCUGAAUGUUAAAAAUCUGUUUACACAACUGUUUUUCUCUUUUCCCUGUGCUGCUUUGGUCUAUUUAAACGCAGUGUGAUAUUACUGUUUUGUAAGAUUUUUUUUUUUAAAAAAUAAAAAAUUGAAAAUA